UACGUAGGUGGCGAGCGUUAUCCGGAAUGAUUGGGCGUAAAGGGUGCGUAGGCGGCCUGCUAAGUCUGGAGUGAAAGGUACCGGCUCAACCGGUACAGGCUCUGGAAACUGGCGGGCUAGAGAGCAGGAGAGGGCGGUGGAACUCCAUGUGUAGCGGUGAAAUGCAUAGAUAUCACGCAGAACUCCGAUUGCGAAGGCAGCGUACCGGCAUCCAACUGACGCUGAGGCACGAAAGCGUGGGGAUCAAACAGG
rnacentral:rRNA from 1 species